AGAGUUUGAUCAUGGCUCAGAAUCAACGCUGGCGGCGCGCUUAACACAUGCAAGUCGCACGAGAAAGUGGAGCAAUCCAUGAGUACAGUGGCGUACGGGUGAGUAACACGUGGAUCAUCUGCCCUUUAGUGGGGAAUAACCCUGGGAAACCGGGGCUAAUACCGCAUAAGCCUGGAAAGGGAAAGCAGCAAUGCGCUGAAGGAGGAGUCCGCGGCCGAUUAGCUAGUUGGUAGGGUAAUGGCCUACCAAGGCAAUGAUCGGUAGCCGGCCUGAGAGGGCACACGGCCACACUGGCACUGAAAUACGGGCCAGACUCCUACGGGAGGCAGCAGUGGGGAAUCUUGCACAAUGGAGGAAACUCUGAUGCAGCGACGCCGCGUGAGCGAUGAAGCCCUUCGGGGUGUAAAGCUCUUUCGACGGGAAAGAUUAUGACGGUACCCGAAGAAGAAGCUGCGGCUAACUACGUGCCAGCAGCCGCGGUAAUACGUAGGCAGCAAGCGUUGUUCGGAAUUACUGGGCGUAAAGAGUGUGUAGGCGGUGCUCUAAGUCUGUUGUGAAAUCUCCCGGCUUAACUGGGAGGGUGCGGCGGAAACUGGAGUGCUCGAGUGUGGGAGAGGUAAGCGGAAUUCCUGGUGUAGCGGUGAAAUGCGUAGAUAUCAGGAGGAACACCUGUGGUGUAGACAGCUUACUGGACCACGACUGACGCUGAGACACGAAAGCGUGGGUAGCAAACAGGAUUAGAUACCCUAGUAGUCC
rnacentral:rRNA from 1 species